ACGCUCGACACCUACGGGAGCAGCAGUGGGGAAUAUUGCACAAUGGGGGAAACCCUGAUGCAGCAACGCCGCGUGAAGGAAGACGGUUUUCGGAUUGUAAACUUCUGUUCUUAGUGAAGAUAGUGACGGUAGCUAAGGAGCAAGCCACGGCUAACUACGUGCCACAGCCGCGGUAAUCUGAGCGGGCUGGCAAGGC
rnacentral:rRNA from 1 species